rnacentral:rRNA from 1 species
CCCGAAUUUCUAUAAGAGCUUAUUAUAUCUUGUGAAGAACAAACUUAUUUAUGUUUCAUCAUAAUAAGUAAAGAUAUUUUAAGAGGCUACAUACCAAUCGCGUAGAACUAUUGCUGGUUUUCAUCAAACUUUAUAAAUUAAACAAAAUACUCUAAACCUAAGUAUUAUUUAAGAUUAUAGAGGAUAAGCCCUAUAAUAUAAUCAUACUUCAUCAAAAUUCAUAUCAUAGUAGGACUAAAACCCCCCAACUAUAAAUUACGUUACAGUAAAUAAUUUUAAAAAUAAAUAAAACAAGUAGACCUUACUAGAUGAAUACUAUUAAUAAUUAACAUAAUUGAAAAAAAUGUAAAAAUAAGUAUUAAGACAUAGAUAAAAAUAUUAAAAUAAAAUUACUUUAUAUUAUCUAAUUAAACAUUAAUUAAGGAACUCGGCAAAAUCCUAUUUCGACUGUUUAACAAAAACAUUGCUUUUUGCACAAAAAUAAAAAGUAAUCUCCUGCCCAGUGAAUAUAUUCAACGGCCGCGGUAUCCUAACCGUGCAAAGGUAGCAUAAUCACUUGCCUAUUAAUUGUAGGCUAGAAUGAACGGGGUAACGAAAUAAGAACUAUCUUAAUUAACUACAUAAAAAUUUAUAUUUAAGUGAAGAAGCUUAAAUAAAAUAAUAGGACAAGAAGACCCUAUAGAGCUUUAGUAAAAUAAUAAUAAAUAUUAAUUCACUUCGGUUGGGGCGACCCAGGAUAAUUCAUCCUGUAUAACAAAGAUUUAUAUAUCUAACAAUAUUGAACCUAAAAAGAUCACAGAUCAAGCUACCUUAGGGAUAACAGGCUAAUCUCACCUUAGAGCUCAUAUCCAAGGUGAGGAUUGGCACCUCGAUGUUGGCUUAGAGAAUCAAAUUGGCGCAGCAGUCAAUGAAUGAAGGUUUGUUCAACCUAUAAUUCUCUACAUGAGCUGAGUUCAGACCGGCGUAAGCCAGGUUAGCUUCUAUCCAUUAUUUUCACCAUAGUCUUAUAGUACGAAAGGACCUAAGA